AUGGUAUUGCAGAAGAUGUGGUUUUGCAAGGCUGGUAAUUCACCAACCUACAAGUUCCAGGAUCCCUUGGCAUUGAGCCAUGAUAGUUCAAGUGGUGCCAAACUGCAUUUAUUCCACAGCGUAGAUGCAUCCCCAGAAUCUGGGCUAGUGAAAGCCCAGCUUCCCGCCUCCAGGGGAAGAAAUGAUUGGCUCGCCUUCUCAGCCAAUAGCAAGACAGGGUGCUACUACUUUAUCUCCCGCCUCUCCACUUCCUCUUUCUUCUUCCUCUGUACCAUGGCGGUGGUGAGACUGGGUUUGCUCUCUGCAAUUGCAUCCAUUGCUAAUCCAAGGCAUGAGAGUUCUGAAGAAGUAGGAACACAAUAUGGAUGUGUCCUCUCUCCUUCAAAAAUAAUGGAUGUUGAAGAUGAGUUUGAAAAGGAAAGGUUUCCCAGUUUCCUGCAGGAAAAGUUGAUGGAAGAGAGCAUUUUACCUGUAAUGCAUCUUGAGUCUCUUUUGGAAGAGAUGUGUGGAACCCAUUUGCAAAUAAAAUUAAUGUCUGAAUGAAUAUAACAGCUCUGUAUUGUCACAUUUAAGAGGUUUAAUCUUAAUAAAUGUAAAUGGUUCACUUCUUUAUGGAAUUGACAUUUUCUUAAUAUUGACUACAUCACAAAAUAACCUAAAUGUUAACAGGUUAUAAUGUGAAAUUAAAGCUGCAAUAAGAGACCACUAACUUCCUUGUGUCCUGUUCUGGGAGAAAUUUUGGAUGGAAAAUUAAAUACAAUGAAAAAGAAGCAAUUCAUAAUUUUGUCAGGUCUUAAGUGUUGUAAAAUAACCUUUCUCAAUGUUGUGUUAGUAAGCCUUAAACAUCAAGAGGUUUGGGUUGCUGUGAGUUUUUUCCGGCUGUAUGGCCAUGUUCCAGAAGCAUUCUCUCCUGAUGUUUUGCCCACAUCUAUGGCAGGCAUCCUCAGAGGAUGUGAGGUCUGUUGGAAACUUGGUAAAUUGGGUUUAUAUAUCUGGAAUGUCCAGGGUGGGAGAAAGAAGUCAUGUCUGUUGGAGGCAAGUGUGAAUGUUGCAAUUGGCUAGGUUGGUUAGCAUUGAAUAGCCUUGCAGCUUCAAAGCUUGGCUGUUUCCUACCUGGGAAAAUCCUUUGUUGGAAGGUGUUAGCUGGCCCUAUUUAGUUGCUUGUGAUUUCCUUUUUUUCUCAUCAUUUUUAAAAUGUAUUUGUUAUUCAAAGCUUUUGACACGAAAUAAAUAAAGCUGGUC
rnacentral:lncRNA from 1 species